rnacentral:lncRNA from 1 species
AAAAGAAAGGAGGGAGGGAGGGAAGGAAGGAAGGAUAAGGGGGAGAGAGAGAGAGAAAGAGAGACAAAGAACAACCAGCUGGCGACUAAACAAAGAACCACCAGUUGAGUCCCCAGGCCCUGCUCCACCCCUACCUGGGUGCCUCAGUCUCCCCACCUGCUCAGGGGCCCCAGGACCACCAACCUCCAUCCUGCCUCCUCCAGGUUAGUCAAGGACAGUCCAGGCCUGGUCCAGGAUCGGGGGGCAUAUUCCUCAGUGUCCCCACACACUGUACAGUGACACCAAUAGCUUGAGCCAGGGCCCUUGGGAAGCCCUCAGCCCCCUCCCUCAGCCUCAGUGAAGGUGGGAUUCUCUAGGGCAGGCUCUGCACCCCUGUGCCUCAGUUUCCCCAGUCAUGGUAAGACGCAUUCACUCGGCAAGUGUCCACGGAGCACCUCCUGUGUACCAGACCCUGUGCUGGGCGCUAGGGACACAGAGGGACUAAGCUAAGCCCGUUUCCCACCCUCUCUGGGCUCAUCGUCCAGUGGGAAAGACGGGCAUGUGGCCAGGCAUCCCCAGUCCUGCCGGGGCCCUGAUGGGGGGCCAUUCAGAAAGCUGCAUGAGCCACCGCGCCUGGCUCCGGCCUCCAACUCUUUCUGCUUGAUUGCUUGAGGCCAGAAGUUCAAGACCACCCCGGGCAACACAGCAAGAACCCAUCUAUAGGAAAAAUAGAAAAUUUAGCCAGGCAAAGUGGCAUGAGCCUGUAGUCUGAGCUACUUGGGAGGCUAAGACAGGAAGAUCAUUUAACCCUAAGACAGGAAGAUCACUUAACCCUGGGAGUUCGAGGCUGCAGUAAGCUAUGAUCCCACUCCAGCCUGGGCCCUGUCUCUGAAAAAAAAAGAAGAAGAAGAAGAAGAAGAAG